rnacentral:rRNA from 1 species
CGACAGUAAGGAAUAUUGGUCAAUGGACGCAAGUCUGACCCAGCCAUGCCGCGUGCAGGAUGACUGCCCUAUGGGUUGUAAACUGCUUUUGUAGAGGAAGAAAUUCUCGUACGUGUACGGGAUUGACGGUACAGUAUGAAUAAGCAUAGGCUAACUCCGUGCCAGCAGCCGCGGUAAUACGGAGGAAGCAAUCUUUAUCCGGAUUCAUUGGAAUUAAAGGGUGCGUAGGCGGAAUAGUAAGUCAGUGGUGAAAUCCCCCGGCUCAACCGGGGAACUGCCAUUGAUACUGUUAUUCUUGAGUACACAGGAGGUGGACUGAAUGUAUCAUGUAGCGGUGAAAUGCAUAGAUCUGAUACAGAACACCGAUAGCGAAGGCAGCUCACUAAACUGUAACUGACGCUGAGGCACGAAAGCGUGGGGAGCAAAGCAGGAUUAGAUACCCUGGUAGUCCACGCUGUAAAGUAUGAUCACUCGGUGUUAGCAAUACACCGUCAGUGGCAAGCGAAAGCAUAAGUAUCCCCUGGAUCGGACGUU